GCGUUGUUCGGAUUCAUUGGGCGUAAAGGGUGCGUAGGUGGCGGGGCAAGUCAGGUGUGAAAUCCCGGGGCUCAACCCCGGAACUGCAUUUGAUACUGCCUUGCUCGAGUACUGGAGAGGAGACUGGAAUUUACGGUGUAGCAGUGAAAUGCGUAGAUAUCGUAAGGAAGACCAGUGGCGAAGGCGAGUCUCUGGACAGUUACUGACACUGAGGCACGAAGGCCAG
rnacentral:rRNA from 1 species